GAGACAGCCGAGGCUGGUCGGAGACAGCCGAGCACGGCCGUCGGAGGCUCACGAAAACACUAGAAAGCGGAAGGGUCGGGAACGCAUUCGGUCCGAAGCUGGGCUCGGUGGACUUGGGACUCUGAGAUACCCGAGCCAUUCCGGAAGCAGCAGAACGUGCCAUAACAGGGGUUUGUUUGUGUUUUUUACGAAGUCGUGAACCUGCCAGACCGCGGAAUGUGUCUGGGAGGAACCGAACGACCUCAACUCCAGGCCUUGGGAGUUGACUCGGAGGCCGCCGAUAGCUUCCGGAAAUUGCCGAAGGUCCACUGGACGAGCUCGGCAGCUGUACCCUCAAUGGAGAGCCGCUGGUGGAAGGAAUGGAAGGCGAAGGCACUGCCAUGACAACCCUAGGCGUCCGGAAACAGCCGAAGUGUCUCCGGCCCAACACGCGCGAGAAUGCGGCUUAUCAGCGUCCGGAAGCGAGAUUGUUUCCGGAAAUACGGACAGACUCUGGCGAGACGGAGAGAACCAGAAGUUGCCGAGCUUGUUCGGCUGAUUUCCGAGGGAUUCAUUUAUCUAUUUUAGCUCACCGCAAAGACUAGGGUAGAAAAUUGGGACGGAGGGGUUGCAGCGAGAGUUCGGCAGUUAAGCAUGCUCACUGCUCUUGCACAGGAUCCAGGUUCAGUAAAUUACAGCCGCGUAUAACCCGACUGGAAUUAAAAGCAAGAGCUAUGACGCCCAGCGUUUUGGAUUUUUCCUUUUU